rnacentral:misc_RNA from 1 species
GAAAUGCGAUACGUAAUGUGAAUUGCUUUCCGUGAAUCAUCGAAUCUUUGAACGCACAUUGCACUCCUCUGGAGUAUGCCUGUUUGAGAAUCUAUAGUAUUAAUUCCUUGAGAUUUCAUUCGUGAAUGAUCAAAGAGAUAUGAAGUUCCCAUUUUCGGAUGGGCUCUUUUAAAUAGAUUGCUACUAGUAAUACGAAAAUGCUUGACAUUUCUCUAUAUCUAUUAGAAAAGUAUGUGUAUGGAACCGUGGUUUCUCAUAAUGCCUAUUAUUUUAGAGGAGAUUUGGAAUUUUCAUAUGAACAGUUUAGUCCAUACCUAUAAAGGCGCAAGCCUUGAACCAUGGUCUCAAAUCAGGUAGGAAGACCCGCUGAACUUAA